rnacentral:rRNA from 1 species
CCUAUAAGACUGGGAUAACUUCGGGAAACCGGAGCUAAUACCGGAUAACAUUUAGAACCGCAUGGUUCUAAAGUGAAAGAUGGUUUUGCUAUCACUUAUGGAUGGACCCGCGCCGUAUUAGCUAGUUGGUAAGGUAACGGCUUACCAAGGCGACGAUACGUAGCCGACCUGAGAGGGUGAUCGGCCACACUGGAACUGAGACACGGUCCAGACUCCUACGGGAGGCAGCAGUAGGGAAUCUUCCGCAAUGGGCGAAAGCCUGACGGAGCAACGCCGCGUGAGUGAUGAAGGGUUUCGGCUCGUAAAACUCUGUUAUUAGGGAAGAACAAAUGUGUAAGUAACUGUGCACAUCUUGACGGUACCUAAUCAGAAAGCCAUGGCUAACUACGUGCCAGCAGCCGCGGUAAUACGUAGGUGGCAAGCGUUAUCCGGAAUUAUUGGGCGUAAAGCGCGCGUAGGCGGUUUCUUAAGUCUGAUGUGAAAGCCCACGGCUCAACCGUGGAGGGUCAUUGGAAACUGGGAAACUUGAGUGCAGAAGAGGAAAGUGGAAUUCCAUGUGUAGCGGUGAAAUGCGCAGAGAUAUGGAGGAACACCAGUGGCGAAGGCGACUUUCUGGUCUGUAACUGACGCUGAUGUGCGAAAGCGUGGGGAUCAAACAGGAUUAGAUACCCUGGUAGUCCACGCCGUAAACGAUGAGUGCUAAGUGUUAGGGGGUUUCCGCCCCUUAGUGCUGCAGCUAACGCAUUAAGCACUCCGCCUGGGGAGUACGACCGCAAGGUUGAAACUCAAA